rnacentral:rRNA from 11 species
UUUAGAGGUUACUCUAAAUCCUGAAAGUAUCAGAUUCCUUUUGAUUUUUGAAGCUAAACAGGUCAGGCUUGAUUAGUACUUGGAAGGGUGACAUCCAGGGAUUGCCCAAUACUGUCGUAG